rnacentral:rRNA from 1 species
UACGGAGGGUGCGAGCGUUAAUCGGAAUUACUGGGCGUAAAGCGCAUGCAGGUGGUUUGUUAAGUCAGAUGUGAAAGCCCGGGGCUCAACCUCGGAAUUGCAUUUGAAACUGGCAAACUAGAGUACUGUAGAGGGGGUAGAAUUUCAGGUGUAGCGGUGAAAUGCGUAGAGAUCUGAAGGAAUACCGGUGGCGAAGGCGGCCCCCUGGACAGAUACUGACACUCAGAUGCGAAAGCGUGGGGAGCAAACAGGAUUAGAUACCCUGGUAG